CCUACGGGCGGCAGCAGUGAGGAAUAUUGGUCAAUGGUCGGGAGACUGAACCAGCCAAGCCGCGUGAGGGAUGAAGGUACAGAGUAUCGUAAACCUCUUUUGUCAGGGAACAAAGGCGGGGACGUGUCCCCGGAUGAGUGUACCUGAAGAAAAGGCAUCGGCUAACUCCGUGCCAGCAGCCGCGGUAAUACGGAGGAUGCGAGCGUUAUCCGGAUUUAUUGGGUUUAAGGGGUGCGCAGGCGGUCUGUUAAGUCAGCGGGCAAAGCCCGGGGCUCAACCCCGGCCCGCCGUUGAAACUGGCAGUCUCGAGUUGGAGAGAAGUAUGCGGAAUGCGCGGUGUAGCGGUGAAAUGCAUAGAUAUCGCGCAGAACUCCGAUUGCGAAGGCAGCAUGCCGGCUCCACACUGACGCUGAGGCACGAAAGCGUGGGUAUCGAACAGGAUUAGAUACCCGGGUAGUC
rnacentral:rRNA from 1 species